UUGGAAGGAAGCUCAAAAAGUCGAGAACCCUCACCUCCCCCCUUCCCCUUCCCCUCCCCAUCCCCCUCCAUCUUCCCAGGACAGCUUUUCAAGAAGUUUAAUUGCACUUAGAGUUGGAGCAGCUUCGGAGUUUCCUGACAUGGUAUUCGGGAGUGGACUCAGCGCUCAGAACAGAUGUCCCAGUGAUUGGCAGUUUUAAUGCUUCUCCAGUUUCACUCAGUCAAGUGAGGAUAGACACCAGCCUAUUAGUGAGACUGGACAAAACCGUGACUGGUGGAGUACCACAGUAAAUGUAAUUUGAAGAAAGCAAGAAAGAACCAAUGGCUUUAGCUGGCUGCCCGGAUUCCUUUUUGCAUCAUCCAUAUUACCAGGACAAGGUAGAUCAGACUUCUACUCACGGUCAGAGCAAGCUAGUGGAACCUGGAUUCCAAGAACAACCUACCCGAGUCGCCUUAAAUCACCAAGAAUGGCUCUAAGGCCCUGUUUUCCUUUCCUUUAGCCUCGUGAUACAGAGGCAUCUUGAAACCCAAUCAUCCCAUGGAAAUGUACAUAUAGUCUGCAGUUUCACUUGUCAUAUAUAAUUGCAUCUACUCUUCAUAAGGCUUAAUCAACAUUUGUGGAAUUGAAUUGUACUUGAUCAGACUGCAUCUGGCCAGGUUGGCAUACAACCCACCAAAGAAAGCUUUAUGGACCUUAAUGGCUAUAAUUUAAAAAAUCCAAUCCAGCAAACCAAACAGCAUUUAUUAAGUACCUUAUUUGUGGAAGGCACUGAGGAUGCAAAAAUUAAAGGGGAAAAGUAAGUAGAUUUCUUCCCUUUCUACUGCAAACUAAUAACAUAAAAUGCUAUUUCUACGGACUCCACA
rnacentral:lncRNA from 1 species